CUCUCUCUCUAGCACGAUGGCAAGCCUUACUGUAACAGCCCCUGUUAUUCUGCACUAUUUGGGCCUAAAGGAUUUGGACGUGGGGGAGCUGAAAGCCACACAUUCACUAA